CCCUGUCCAAAUUUGUGCUGGAUAAGCUAGGAUAUAUAAACUGGUGUAUUGGAAUACGGUUCUGACCAAAGAUUGAUGAACAGUGCUGAACCAGCCAGUUUGAGGUAUAUCGUUUUGGACCAUCUGGUUAUCCGCAUGAUUCAAAGGCUUCAAACGGGUUACAUAUAAAGCCCAGUGCCCUAGCCUGCCAGUACAAGUCCCUUUGCUUUGAAAGUAUCAAAACCCUCCGUCCUUAAAUCAAAACCCUCGAUGCAUUGUGCCCUUGAAAUGCUCUCUAAAUAAAUAAAUAAAUAAAUAAGAGGCAAAAAAAGGUUCAAAGCUAGAGGCCCCUUUGAAAACCUCAGGCCUCCAUCCCCCUUCAGAACCCUCUAGAUACUCUCGCUCCUUCCCUCCUCUCUUGUUCUCUUACUCAGUCUUUGUUGCUGGCCUCCGCUCCCCUUCAAAGUUUUGGGGAGAUUCCUCUCUCUCCCCCCUCCUAUAGGCUCAGGUGUGAUGCUCUCAAGCCUCAGAUGGUCAAGAGAAAGGCCAUGGUUUGAAGUCCAUGAAGCAUUCAUGGAGGUAUUAGGACUGUUUUGGGCCCUAGGGUGGAGGCAGUUAGCUCUCUAUGGUCUUGAGGCCUAGGAGACAUGGGUCUUGAGGGUCUAAUCCACUUUUGGACUAGGUUUGGAUCCAAGAAGGAUGAAAGCACAUAAGACAUGGGUGUACAUAGGCUUGGAUGAGUGCAAUCACAUAUGGUUUAGCCAUUGAGAG
rnacentral:lncRNA from 1 species